ensembl:snRNA U4 U4 spliceosomal RNA
GUCUAUCCGAGGCGCGAUUAUUGCUAGUUGAAAACUUUACCCAAUACCCCGCCUGGACGACUUGAAAAAUAGUCGGCUAUGGCGAUUUUUGACAGUCUCUCAGGAGA